UACGUAGGGUGCAAGCGUUGUCCGGAAUUAUUGGGCGUAAAGAGCUCGUAGGCGGUCUGUCGCGUCUGCUGUGAAAACUCGGGGCUUAACCCCGGGCCUGCAGUGGGUACGGGCAGACUAGAGUGCGGUAGGGGAGACUGGAAUUCCUGGUGUAGCGGUGAAAUGCGCAGAUAUCAGGAGGAACACCGGUGGCGAAGGCGGGUCUCUGGGCCGUAACUGACGCUGAGCAGCGAAAGCGUGGGGAGCGAACAGG
rnacentral:rRNA from 1 species